rnacentral:rRNA from 1 species
UACAGAGGGUGCGAGCGUUAAUCGGAAUUGCUGGGCGUAAAGCGUGCGUAGACGGUUAUUUAAGUCGGGUGUGAAAGCCCCGGGCUCAACCUGGGAAUUGCAUUCGAGACUGAAUAGCUAGGGUACGGUAGAGGGAAGUGGAAUUUCCGGUGUAGCGGUGAAAUGCGUAGAUAUCGUAAGGAAGACCAGUGGCGAAGGCGGGUCUCUGGACAGUUCCUGACGCUGAGGCACGAAGGCCAGGGGAGCAAACGGG